CAAGGCUGAAACUCAAAGGAAUUGACGGGGGCCCGCACAAGCGGUGGAGCAUGUGGUUCAAUUCGACGCAACGCGAAGAACCUUACCUGGGCUCGAACGGCUUCUCAACGUUCGUGGAAACACGGAUAUCCCGCAAGGGAGUGGAGUCGAGGUGCUGCAUGGCUGUCGUCAGCUCGUGUCGUGAGAUGUUGGGUUAAGUCCCGCAACGAGCGCAACCCUUGCCCUGUUUUGCCAUCAUUAAGUUGGGAACUAUCAGGGGACCGCCAGCGAUAAGUUGGAGGAAGGUGGGGAUGACGUCAAGUCAUCAUGGCCUUUAUGUCCAGGGCUACACACGUGCUACAAUGGACGGUACAAAGCGCUGCUAAACCGCGAGGUGGAGCUAAUCGCAAAAAACCGUUCUCAGUUCGGAUUGCAGGCUGCAACUCGCCUGCAUGAAGCUGGAAUCGCUAGUAAUGGCAGAUCAGCAUGCUGCCGUGAAUACGUUCCCGGGCCUUGUACACACCGCCCGUC
rnacentral:rRNA from 1 species